CAUGGGUCUCAUGAAUCAGGAUCUGAACAGCGUCGGAGGCCACUCCUCUGCUUACAUCACCUAUAUCCUAUGAAAAUAUUCCAGUGGAGGCAAAAUAUCAGCUAGUCCAUCCACUUCUGCUUCACCAAAAAUCAGAAAUUGCCGAUUGACUCUGUUCUGCAGAAGGUGUUCAACCGGGGGUAUAGAGUUACCAAUGCUGGAGAAAAAUGACUUCAGGGAUAUUAUGAGUUGCUGAAAUUCCAUAUAAUGGACAUAAAAAUCAACAACAACAGAAAUGACCGUUUUCUGCCAACACAAAC
rnacentral:lncRNA from 12 species